rfam:Ipomoea nil DNA, scaffold: scaffold3245, cultivar: Tokyo-kokei standard.
ACCAUCUUAGCUCAGUGGUAGAGCGCGUGGCUUUUAACCACGUGGUCGUGGGUUCGAUCCCCACAAAUGGUG